rnacentral:lncRNA from 1 species
GCUUGGAGGUGGGUUGCCUUUGGAUAUUUGCAUAUCUCUGACACCGAUCACAUCUUCUGACAUAUUCGAUGGAGUCAUGGUACAUGGUAGGCAAGUAAUAGCUUUGUCGGAGCAGUUUGUGGGAUAAAGAUCUAGUCCCUAGGUGACUUCCGCAGACUCCCUCAUGUACCUCUCACAAGGCGAAGUCGGCUUCAGAAGGCCAG